GGAUAGAGAAAGUCUUAAUGGUAACAGAGUCAGAAUGCGUAUCCCAUCUAAGGCGAGAGUAAACCUCACCUACGGAAACGUAGUGUUAGACGAGGGAUAUACUCAAAAGUGAACCCCACCUACGGAAGAACGUAGGUUAGACGGGGAACACAUCAGUUAAAAAGUGAACCUCACCUACGGAAACGUAGUGUUAGACGAGGGACGUACUUAAAAGUGAACCCCACCUGCGGAAGAACGCAGGUUAGACGGGGAACACAUCAGCUAAAGGGUGAACCUCACCUACGGAAACGUAGUGUUAGACGAGGGAUGUACUCAAAAGUGAACCCCACCUACGGAAGAACGUAGGUUAGACGGGGAACACAUCGGUAAAAGUGAACCCCACCUGCGGAAGAACGCAGGUUAGACGGGGAACACAUCGGCAAAAGUAAGCCCCACCUACGGAAGAACGUAGGUUAGACGGGGGACACGUCGGCUAAACACACACCCCAUUCUACAAAGAUGUAGACAGAGGGGCAAGUGUCCAAGAGUAAACCUCACCUACGAAAGAACGUAGGUUAGACGAGGGACGUACUCAAGAACAAUCCUCACCUACGGAUGAACGUAGGUAGACGAGGAGUCACACUUAGCCUCAGUCGCAGAAAGGCGAGCAAAAGGAGGGGGCAAGUAUUCAAACAACAAUCCUCACCUACGGAUGAAUGUAGGUAGACGAGGAAUCACACUUAGCCUCAGUCGCAGAAAGGUGAGCAAAAGGAGGGGGCAAGUAUUCAAGUAAUAGUCCUCACCCACGGAUGAACGCGGGUAGACGAGGAAGCACAAAUAGCCCCUAUCGCAGAAAGGCGGUAAAAAGGAGGGGGUCGGGUACUCUCAAAACCCGCCACAGGGAAGAGAACCCAAGCAGUGCUCAAGGACAGCUCAGGCAAGGCGUCAAGGUGGGCAAGCAGGGUUCCGCGGGAGAAUCAGGCCGGACAGGCGUGCAAGGAGUAGGCUUCGGCUAGGACAAACCGGACAAUAGUUGGCAAAGGCGCGUGACAACCUCCAUGGAAGCAUAGAUGCAACCUCACAGGCGUGGAAAGGGGGGAGUACUGGUGAGAGAGGAUCUUACAUCCAGGGACAUCACCAGAAAUCCACAUCCCAGCACGCAAAGAGGGGGGGAAUACUGAUAGUACAGGGUCCGACACACAGACCAUAGUACUAAAAGACGUAUCCCAAAGUACCUAAUACACAGAGGAGGGGGAGUACUGGUGAUACAGCAUCCCGAACACGGUCACAACCUACCAGCAACUAGAAGUCCGGAUAGCCUAAGAUGAGUUGAGGUAUCUAUUCUAGGGUUGGGGAGGUCCCAGGUCGAAUUCUAAGAAGAUCGACUUUCCUGAGGAUCGACUUCCCUGGGAUCGACUUUUGAGUAAAGUCGAUCACCAGGAAAAGUCGACCCCCAGAAAGUCGAUCUCUGGAAAGUCGACCCCUGGACCCAAUCUGAUCAGUUGGGCAGUUAGGCGGUUACUGCCCAAAUGACCAGAUUACCCCCAUAAGAAUCCCUAUAAAUAGAGGGCACCCCCCACUCAUUAAAGGCAAGUCAUUUUGGAGAAGAAGAAUUCUUAGCGAAGCAGAGCUCUGCACACUUGAGUUCCGGUCCGGUUUCCCGCGGAGUUCCCCGCUUGGCGCUUGCUUGCGCGUCUUGGAGUACUGGUCGGGUUUCACCCCCAUCAGUAAGUAUAUUAUUUGAUAUUUUAAAUGAGUUUUAUUUGAUGUUUGGAUUUAAAAAAAAAUCCAACUUGUUUUGAUUCUAACGUUCUAUAUAUUUUAUAUAAAAUUAUAAAUAAGCAUAUAAUAUUAUAAUCUAUACAUACGUAAAUAUCUAUUAAUAUAAUGAGUGGAAGUUGUGAAAAUGAAAUAAUAAUUUUGCAUGCAUUUAUUUGAAAAUCCAAUUAAUCUGUCGAUUGCAUGCAUUUUGAAAUCAAUGUAUGCAUAAUUUCUUACAUGAUUGAUAAGUCGAUAUUUUUACGAUACAUUAAUGUUUAAUUCUUUUCAAGGAUUAAUUAAUUUCUUUCAAUAACGGUAAUCUUUUUAAUCUGUGGGUUUUAAUAUUUGAAAAUAAUAUUUCUUUAAAUUAAUCAUGUACAAUUAACAAUAUUGUAUGAUUUGAAAUUAAUGAUUUUUGAUUGAGUUUAAAUAUUGAGUUUUGAUUGGAAAUUUUAUUAUUUGAAUCAAUGCAUGAUUGCAUGAAUUUAGAAUUAUAUAUAUAACGAGGCAUAAGUUCGAUAAACAAUAAAAUUGAAUAGCGGUAUAUGAUUUGUUUUUACAGAUUUUUGGUUUGCUUUCGACUGAUAAUAUUUUAUUUUUACAUAUAUCUAUUGAAAUAAAACACCAUUAACGAGUGUAUUAAUUAAAUAAAAUUAAUUAAGGGACGGGUCAACGUGGUUUAAUGGAUCAAUUCCUUCAGAAAUAUCCAACUAUUUAUGUAUAUGCAUAUAUGAAGGUAUUAAAUAUCCAACUAUUUAUAUAUAUUCGAACGGUCACAGUAUUAAAUAAGAUUAUCAACCAUAUAUUAUAAAAAUUAACUUGUUUUGAUUCUAGCCUUCUAUAUAUUUUAUAUAAAAUUAUAAAUAACUAUAUUUUAUUGUUAUUGAUAAAUGAUUCAUUCAUCAUAUAAUAUUAUAAUCUAUACGUACGUAAAUAUCUAUUAAUAUAAAGAAUGGAAGUUGUUAAAAUUAAAUAUUAAUUUUACAUGUUCACGUUUGAAUUUUCUAUAUUUUUAUUAUCAUUACAAUACAUAUAAAUCGUUUAAUAUUUAAUUGUUAAUAUUUUUCUUUGUCGGAAUCUUUACAAUA
rnacentral:lncRNA from 1 species